rnacentral:lncRNA from 1 species
GCGGCGCCCCGGAGCUCGGGCCGGUGGAAGGUUCACCUGCUAGGCUCGUCCGACAUGUCUCGCGCUCCCAUCGCACUCCAGCGUUGCGCAGCCUGGAGGGACAGGACGGACACGCGUGUGCCUCCUUCUAAUUCAUCUUGUAUGGCUUCACCAUUGUGGUUGUCAAUAUGGCAUGCAGAAUUAUCCCUCUUUCCAGCUUCUAGAGUCUACCUGGUUUCCUGGGCUCAUGGCCCCUUCCUCCAUCUUCAAACCAGCAAUGGUGAGUUGGGUCUUAUUCACAUCGUAUCUCUCUGUGAUCAUCUUCUGCCCUCUCCUCCACUUUUAAAAACCUUUGUCAUUAGAUUGGACCUGCCUGAAUAAUCCAGGAUAAUCUUUGUAUUUUAAGUUGAGUUGAUUAACAGCCUUAAUUUCAUGUGCCAUCUUAAUUCUUUGCCAAGGAAAGUAACAUCGUCACAGGUUCUGAAGAUUAGGGCAUGGACAUCUUGGAAAAAGGGCACCAUUCUGCCUACUGCGAUUUCUAACUUAUCCUAUGAAGUAAAUCAUACCACGUAAAUUCCAAAUGCGAAGGAAUUCUUUUCCAUCUGUUUUUCUACAAAGAAAAACAACUGAAAUUGGCUUCAUACAACAAUUACAUGAGUAAACUUCCAGUUAUAAUUUAUAGUAGAAAGAGAAAGGUGUUUUCUGAUAAUGCAUUUUGGUUAAGAGCCAAAGAGUCUUCACUAAAAAUUUGCUGAAAAUACUGCUAUAAACAAUGACUAUUAAAGUUAAAUAAUCAUCAAG